rnacentral:rRNA from 1 species
UACGUAGGGGGCUAGCGUUAUCCGGAAUUACUGGGCGUAAAGGGUGCGUAGGUGGUUUCUUAAGUCAGAGGUGAAAGGCUACGGCUCAACCGUGGUAAGCCUUUGAAACUGGGAAACUUGAGUGCAGGAGAGGAGAGUGGAAUUCCUAGUGUAGCGGUGAAAUGCGUAGAUAUUAGGAGGAACACCAGUUGCGAAGGCGGCUCUCUGGACUGUAACUGACACUGAGGCACGAAAGCGUGGGGAGCAAACAGG